rnacentral:rRNA from 1 species
UACGGAGGAGGCAAGCGUUGUCCGGAAUUAUUGGGCGUAAAGCGUCCGUAGGUGGUUGGGCAAGUCAGCUGUCAAAGGGCGGGGCUCAACCUCAUAAAGGCAGUGGAAACUGGCGAGCUAGAGUGCGGUAGGGGUAGGGGGAAUUCCCAGUGUAGCGGUGAAAUGCGUAGAGAUUGGGAAGAACAUCGGUGGCGAAAGCGCCCUGCUGGGCCUGCACUGACACUGAGGGACGAAAGCUAGGGGAGCGAAAGGG